UACGGGAGGCAGCAGUGGGGAAUAUUGCACAAUGGGCGAAAGCCUGAUGCAGCUAUGCCGCGUGUAUGAAGAAGGCCUUAGGGUUGUAAAGUACUUUCAUCGGGGAGGAAAAACAAAACUAAUAAUUUUAUUUCUUGACGUUACCCGAAAAAGAAGCACCGGCUAACUCCGUGCCAGCAGCCGCGGUAAUACGGAGGGUGCUAGCGUUAAUCAGAAUUACUGGGCGUAAAGAGCACGUAGGUGGUUUUUUUAAGUCAGAUGUGAAAUCCCUGGGCUUAACCUAGGAACUGCAUUUUGAAACUGAAAUACUAGAGUAUCGUAGAGGGAGGUAGAAUUCUAGGUGUAGCGGUGAAAUGCGUAGAUAUCUGGAGGAAUACCUGUGGCGAAAGCGGCCUCCUAAACGAAUACUGACACUGAGGUGCGAAAGGCGUGGGGAGCAAACAGGGAUUAGAUACC
rnacentral:rRNA from 1 species